GUUCUGGCAUGGGAAUAUCCAUAAACUACAUCUAAACUAUACAAUUAGUUUUAUAAUGGGUCAAUAAAGGACUUAUUGGAAACAACUAAGAAAAUACCCAAUAUCACCUGCAACCGUAGAAGAACGAACAGAAGUACUUGAAUAUUAAACAGACAAUAUCCAAAGUUGAAAUACAUCGGAAGCUACAGCGAGAGGCUUGCAACCAAAAUGAAGUGGCGACAGAGGGCUUGGAGAGUUCCUCCCCCUCCUCUCCAAUAAGAUAAUUUGUUUCGACGUGUCCACAUCUUAUCCUUCGACUUAACGAAUCAUCUGCUCAACCUAGAUGGUCUCCGAAGUCAAGCACUCCCUCAACUCAGCUGGUCUUUGGACUUAACUUCCCGUA
rnacentral:lncRNA from 1 species